rnacentral:rRNA from 1 species
AUGAGAGUCGGCGUCGGCGGGAGCGCGGGCGCGGUGUUCUACGCGGACAAGUACCACCCGAUCCAGGCGGGCAGCAUCGACGGCACGGACGUCGCCCCCCACGACAACGCCGUCCUCCGCGCCCUCCUCUGCUCCACCGCCGGCCUCUAUGAUCCGUUCGGGGACCCCAAGGCCGCCGGCGACCCCUACUGCACGGUCUUCGUCGGGCACCUCUCCCGCCUCACCGACGACGAGACGGUCCGGAAGGCCAUGGGAAGGUACGGGAAAGUGAAGAGCAUGCGGCUGGUGCGGGAUAUUGUUACUGGUGCUUCCCGCGGUUAUGCAUUUGUAGAGUAUGAAACAGACAAAGAGAUGCGCCGUGCCUAUGAGGAUGCACACCACUCAAUUAUUGAUGGCAAUGAAGUGAUCGUAGACUACUAUAGGCAGCAACUUAUGCCUGGAUGGAUACCAAGGAGGCUAGGAGGAGGACUUGGAGGGAAGAAAGAGUCUGGCCAGCUUCGAUUUGGAGGUCGAGAGAGGCCAUUUCGUGCUCCCUUGCGGCCUAUUCCUCAUGAUGAACUCAAAAAGCUCGGGAUCCAACCGCCGCCUGAGGGGCGGUAUAUGACACGUUUUGAGGUUCCCCCACCACCUAGACGAAAAGGAGGCAAUGUUGACAGGGAAGAGUCGCCAUCUCCUAGGAGAAUAUCCAAGGACAGGGCUGAUGGCACCUACAGAAGGCAGAGAAGUCCAACUGAAGACGAAGGCAGCCCGCGCAGGCGCAAAAGCAGCCAUGACCACAGGGAAGAUACGCAAAGGAGGAUAAGGUCAUCUAGGGAGGCAAGCACCUACAGCAGGCAGAGAAGCCCAACUGGAGACGGCGGCGACCAUCACAAGCAAAAAGGCCACCGAGAGCAGGGCGAUAUCAGCAGCUAUGAUAGGCAUGUAAGCCCAGCCGAAGACGACGGCGGUCAUCACCGCAAGCGAAGAAGAAGCCGAGAGCCUGGGGAUAUCAGGAGGAGCCAUAGUAGGCGGAGAAGCCCAACCGAAGACGACGCCGAUCGCCACAAGCGAAGGAAAAGCCGAGAGGCUGGAGAUACCAGCAGCCACAGCAGGCACAGAAGCCCAGCCGAAUACGACGGUGGCGGUCAUCGCAAGCGGAGGAAGAGCCGAGAGCCGGGAGAGGUGUCUCCUGGCACGGAGGAUGGCAGUUUCAGAAGAGGAGGAACCUCCACCGAAGCCGGCCCCAGCCCUCGCCGUCGAUCUCAUCGGGAGCAGAGGCAUCACGGCGGCAGCAGCCGUUCCCGCCACGGUGACCAUGCUCGCUCCAGGAGAUCCGAGAGCCGAGAUUAUAGCCAGCUCUGUUCGGUUGUCGGGUGUUUGUCUUGCCAGGCGACACCGCUCGCCGUAUGUGUAGGAUCCACGGUUUGUUCCUGA